UGCAUCAUAAAAUGCCAUGUUAUGUAUUAGGUUGUAUUACAUUAGAAUCCACGAAUAUGAUGCAUUGCAUAAGAUGAUAUCUGUGUGGAUGAAUGUUGGAUGAUCCUUAGCCCUUGAUAUGAGCAGAGAUACUAUGAGAUCAUAUGAGAUAUGGCAUGAGAUAGCCAUACCAGGUCGCUCCUGGAUAGUUCAGGUCGCUCCUGGUACUAUGAGUUAGACAGUCAGCCUGUCAGAUCAGA
rnacentral:lncRNA from 1 species